rnacentral:rRNA from 1 species
UACGGAGGGUGCAAGCGUUAUCCGGAUUCACUGGGUUUAAAGGGUGCGUAGGUGGGUCUGUAAGUCAGUGGUGAAAUCUCCAAGCUUAACUUGGAAACUGCCGUUGAUACUAUAGAUCUUGAAUGCUGUGGAGGUGAGCGGAAUAUGUCAUGUAGCGGUGAAAUGCUUAGAUAUGACAUAGAACACCAAUUGCGAAGGCAGCUCACUACCCAGAUAUUGACACUGAGGCACGAA